rnacentral:lncRNA from 1 species
AUGUGCUUGGCCAGUAUGAACUCUGCUGGAAACAGAAGGCCCUCUGAGGCUAUGGUAAGCCUGAAGGGACAAGGCAGGCUUUUGAGGGAGGAAAUCAAAAAACAUUGGAAAAAUUCCUGCUUUAAAUCAAGAGAUGCCUCAAAGCUGCAGUGUUUCCUGGCUGCCUGCCCCAUACUGCUGUGGGAUGCCUGUGGGGGAAAACUGAGCCACAUCCAUGUCAUGAACUGGGAGGACCGUGAGUGCCAGAGCUGCUCCAAGGUAAGACACCCCUGCUCCCAAACUGGGGCCCUCUCUAUGGAAAGAAUGAUACCCAGGUGCGGUUUCCAAUGUGCCGAAGUAGCUCAUUCAGAACCGGUUAGGUAGGACACAAUUUCCUUUCUGAAAAAUUAAAUGGGUUUAUUUUUAAGAGGUAUCUUUUCCUGAAGAACAGGCUUUCUUGCUUUAUGGGAAGUUUUGUUUUGGGGUAGUGGUGUUAAGCCAUUACUCUUUGCUCUGCUUCACAAAAAAACGGUUUUGGAAUCAAAUUUUCUCAUGUGUCAAAAAAAGUAAUAAUUUCACUUUUUCAAUACCAAAACUAAUUAGCCUGCCAAGAUGGAUGUUACCAGAGUAAGACUGCACAUUAAUGUUUUGUAUAAGAUAUCAUAUAUGUAGAUGUAAAUAUAAUAUGGAAUUUUUUGUGUGUCUAUAUACAUAUUUGUCCAUGUUUACCUGAACUCUUAUAGUGGAUAUAAAUGUUUUGUGUAAAUUGUGAUUUUUACCCUUCUCUUUAGGAAUAAUACCUGUUAUUUCUUUUUGUAAGUACUCCUAGUAAGUUUGGGCACAGAAGUGUAGUGUGAGUAGAGCCUAUGUUCAACUGUAAAAUAGGAUACAUAUUUCAAUUAUUUAGAGGAUUUUUUGAAAUAGGUUCCUUUUGUCCAAAUUAAUUACGGCAUGUAUCAAACCAAACAGUCCAGUAUGACCCCUCUGAAAACCCAGUACUGAUCAGCAUUGUGAUCUGGAUGAAAAUAUGCAAGUACAGCUGAUUAAGAGAUUGUUGCCCCCAACUUUGGAAGUCCACAUGAGAGAAGGAAAUGGUCUCUGCUAGUGAAGUCUCAGACUUACUGAAACAGUGAGCCCCAUCCAACUAUGAACACGUGUAUUUGAGUCUUCAAAGAGUAUCUUUGCUGUUUGGUAAAGUGGCUAUUAGAAACUUUAACCUAAAAGUCUGCAAGAUGCAGCCUAGUGUUAGGCUUCUUCAGGCUUCAGUUCUGCAGAUCUUCCUCAAAGUGUUUGACAUUGGUCUCCCUUCGCUGAUAAAGAUACAACCUACUGAUUUCACUCUACACCUAAAUUAAGUAUUUAGGACUGAAUAUGUAAUAGCCAC